UGGGUACUGCGGCAGGACAUUACUGAUUUGCUUAAUUGCACCACAUGUGUUUUUUAUUGAACAAAUUUCUUUGGUGGCGGGAGCAAUCCUACCGCCAGAGGUUAUAACUAAACCAAACUUUUUAUUUACAGUCAAACUUGAUUUAUUAUUACAAUAGUCAAAACUUUCAACAACGGAUCUCUUGGUUCUCGCAUCGAUGAAGAACGCAGCGAAAUGCGAUACGUAAUAUGAAUUGCAGAUAUUCGUGAAUCAUCGAAUCUUUGAACGCACAUUGCGCCCUUUGGUAUUCCAAAGGGCAUGCCUGUUUGAGCGACAUUUCUCCCUCAAACCCCCGGGUUUGGUGUUGAGCAAUACGCUAGGUUUGUUUGAAAGAAUUUAACGUGGAAACUUAUUUUAAGCGACUUAGGUUUAUCCAAAAACGCUUAUUUUGCUAGUGGCCACCACAAUUUAUUUCAUAACUUUGACCUCAAAUCAGGUAGGACUACCCGCUGAACUUAAGCAUAUCAAUAAGCGGAGGA
rnacentral:rRNA from 1 species